rnacentral:misc_RNA from 1 species
GAACGCAAAUUGCACUCGAGGCUCCGGCCGAGAGUAUGCCUGCCUCAGUGUCGGUCCACACCCUCGCUUUCUCUUUUUCUCCGAAAAAAGAGAGCGGACCUGGCUGUCUCGAUGCCAAUCGAGUCCGCUGAAGAACAGAGGCCCGAGCGCUGCUCACCAUGGGCAACAGUCUGGUAGGUGGUAGCAAUACCGCAUGCCGCUGUUGGCCUGAGUGCGCGCUGGAAGCCAUGCAGGAAUUUCCCAAAAAAAACAUUCGACCUGAGUUCAGGCAAGAACACCCGCUGAACUUAAG